AUUGACCGCUGGCGGCAGGCCUAACACAUGCAAGGCGCGCGGGGUGAUGGUGCUUGCACUAUCACUUAGCGGCGGACGGGUGAGUAAUGCUUAGGAAUCUGCCUAUUAGUGGGGGACAACAUCUCGAAAGGGAUGCUAAUACCGCAUACGUCCUACGGGAGAAAGCAGGGGAUCCCUUGUGACCUUGCGCUAAGAGCUGAGCCUAAGUCGGAUUAGCUAGUUGGUGGGGUAAAGGCCUACCAAGGCGACGAUCUGUAGCGGGUCUGAGAGGAUGAUCCGCCACACUGGGACUGAGACACGGCCCAGACUCCUACGGGAGGCAGCAGUGGGGAAUAUUGGACAAUGGGGGGAACCCUGAUCCAGCCAUGCCGCGUGUGUGAAGAAGGCCUUAUGGUUGUAAAGCACUUUAAGCGAGGAGGAGGCUCUUUUGGUUAAUACCCAAGAUGAGUGGACGUUACUCGCAGAAUAAGCACCGGCUAACUCUGUGCCAGCCGCCGCCGUAA
rnacentral:rRNA from 1 species